rnacentral:rRNA from 1 species
GAUGAACGCUGGCGGCGUGCCUAAUACAUGCAAGUCGAGCGAACGGACGAGAAGCUUGCUUCUCUGAUGUUAGCGGCGGACGGGUGAGUAACACGUGGAUAACCUACCUAUAAGACUGGGAUAACUUCGGGAAACCGGAGCUAAUACCGGAUGAUAUUUUGAACCGCAUGGUUCAAAAGUGAAUGACGGUCUUGCUGUCACUUAUAGAUGGAUCCGCGCUGCAUUAGCUAGUUGGUAAGGUAACGGCUUACCAAGGCAACGAUGCAUAGCCGACCUGAGAGGGUGAUCGGCCACACUGGAGCUGAGACACGGUCCAGACUCCUACGGGAGGCCGCGGUAGGGAAUCUUGCGCGAUGGGCGGAAGCCUGACGGAGCAACGCCGCGUGAGUGCUGCAGGUCUUCGGAUCGUAAAACUCUGUUAUUAGGGAAGAACAUAUGUGUAAGUAACUGUGCACAGCUUGACGGUACCUAAUCAGAAAGCCCCGGCUAACUACGUG